rnacentral:rRNA from 1 species
AAUGAACGCUGGCGGCAUGCCUAACACAUGCGAGUCGAACGAAGGCUUCGGCCUUAGUGGCGCACGGGUGCGUAACGCGUGGGAAUCUGCCCUUGGGUUCGGAAUAACAGUUAGAAAUGACUGCUAAUACCGGAUGAUGUCGUAAGACCAAAGAUUUAUCGCCCAAGGAUGAGCCCGCGUAGGAUUAGCUAGUUGGUGGGGUAAAGGCCUACCAAGGCGACGAUCCUUAGCUGGUCUGAGAGGAUGAUCAGCCACACUGGGACUGAGACACGGCCCAGACUCCUACGGGAGGCAGCAGUGGGGAAUAUUGGACAAUGGGCGAAAGCCUGAUCCAGCAAUGCCGCGUGAGUGAUGAAGGCCUUAGGGUUGUAAAGCUCUUUUACCCGGGAUGAUAAUGACAGUACCGGGAGAAUAAGCGCCGGCUAACUUCGUG